UACGGAGGGUGCAAGCGUUAAUCGGAAUUACUGGGCGUAAAGAGUGCGUAGGUGGUUGGGUAAGUUAUGUGUGAAAUCCCUGGGCUUAACCUGGGCAGGUCAUAUAAUACUGCUUAACUCGAGUAUGGGAGAGGGUAGUGGAAUUUCCGGUGUAGCGGUGAAAUGCGUAGAGAUCGGAAGGAACACCAGUGGCGAAGGCGGCUACCUGGCCUAAUACUGACACUGAGGCACGAAAGCGUGGGGAGCAAACAGG
rnacentral:rRNA from 1 species